rnacentral:lncRNA from 12 species
UUGCUGCCACAGAAGCAAUGUUUCAUCUCUUCAGCUCCUCAGUGUCUGUGAGCAAGAGUCAGCUCCAGCUCCUGCUCUUUCCUGCCUAGAUGAUGUGGCUCAGACUUAUUUCAUGGGAGAUAGCAGCUUUCCCUUAUGCUUGCUGUGCUUCAUGUCCUAGGAUGGGUAAUGCAGUGUGGAAGCAGUGAGAGUAAUUGAGGCUAGUUACCAUCAGUGGCAAUGCAUAUAAAGCCCUUCAUUAUAUAAGUAUGGCAGAAGUGUCCAUUAAAGAAGGCUUUAAAACUGAAACUAGUACAAAGAUCAGAACUGG